rnacentral:lncRNA from 1 species
CGGGGAUUCAGGAAUCCCACAGAAGCUGAGACUGCAGAAACAAAGCACCACGUAACAGCGCGGGUGAAAGACCACGCCAAACCAGAGGCAGACAAACCAGCCUGCAAUAAAAAUAAAAAAAUAAAAAAAUACACGCACGACGAGCAGAGAGGAGCAAUAAUUAAUUACCGGCUCUCGAGCCGCGUCUCCGGGCACGGCCCCGCAGGCGGGACCACACCUCAUCCCGCACGGCAGCACCGCGCGGACAUUCGUCCCAGCGGCGGGGCGGGACGGAGCGGACGCGCGGUUCCCCAGGCACCACCCCUUCCUCCCUCCCACCGGCCCGUCCGCCGCCGUCCCGGCGCCCCGCCCCGCCCCCGCCCCGCCCCCUGCCCUUUGCCCCCCCGCUGUCCCAGCGCUUCCUGUUCUCAACCACGUGGGCGCGCCGGCCGCGGGGCAGUGCGGUGGCAUGGCGGGCGGCGGCGCGCAGUGCCUCAGCUUCGCGGGGUGCAACUUCUUACGGCAGCGGCUGGUGCUGUCCACGCUCAGCGGGCGGCCGCUGAAAAUCCGCAAGAUCCGCGCCAAAGAAGAGGACCCCGGUCUCCGCGACUUUGAAGCAUGCUUUAUUCGCCUUAUUGACAAAGUGACAAAUGGCUCUAGGAUUGAGAUAAACCAAACAGGUGAGAUCUGUUUUCUCUUCUUCCUCUGUUGCAGUCUUCCAGACUCUAUCACUUGAAGUAAAAAUUGCAGCUUGACAGGUAGAUGUUUAGAUAGCAUUGACUCCAUGAAUUAGAUGUUAGUAAGCACAGAAGCUUUUUAGUAAAGGAUUACAUGAAAGAUCAUGCAUCUCCAGAGUGCAGUGCACUAAGGGAGGUGCAUUACUCAAGACUGAGGGGUGAUAUUGUAUUUAAUAUGUAGGAUCUCCUAGCAGAGGAGACUCACUGAACCAAGCAAGGUUUGUACUUGCCAAGUCAUGUUCCUAAGAGGAGUUACAAUUACUUUGAUCAAGAAGCAUCCCAUGUAGGACUCUCAGCUGUCUCUAUGAUGUGUAGAUUUUCAGGACUGGUUUGUCAGUGAAGUGGAUAAUAUGUCACUGGAUAAACUGAGA